rnacentral:rRNA from 1 species
GACAGAGGGUGUAAACGUUGUUCGGAAUUACUGGGCGUAAAGCGCGUGUAGGCUGCUCAGAAAGUCGGAUGUGAAAGCCCUGGGCUUAACCUAGGAAGUGCAUUCGAAACUUCUGAGCUUGAGUUCUGGAGAGGAAGGCGGAAUUCUCGGUGUAGAGGUGAAAUUCGUAGAUAUCGAGAGGAACACCGGUGGCGAAGGCGGCCUUCUGGACAGUGACUGACGCUGGAGACGCGAAAGCGUGGGGAGCAAACAGG